GACGAACGCUGGCGGCGUGCCUAAUACAUGCAAGUAGGACGCAGUUGCGAACGGGUGAGUAACGCGUAGGUAACUGCCUAUUAGAGGGGGAUAACUAUUGGAAACGAUAGCUAAUACCGCAUACUAGUAGAUGGACCUGCGUUGUAUUAGCUAGUAGGUAGGGUAAUGGCCUACCUAGGCGACGAUACAUAGCCUACCUUGGAGGGUGGUCGGCCACACUGGGACUGAGACACGGCCCAGACUCCUACGGGAGGCAGCAGUAGGGGAUCUUCGGCAAAUGGGGGAACCCUGACCGGGCAACGCCGCGUGAGUGAAGAAGGUUUUCGGAUCGUAAAGCUCUGUUGUUAAGGAAGCGGUACUUAACCAGAAAGGGACGGCUAACUACGUGCCAGCAGCCGCGGUAAUUC
rnacentral:rRNA from 1 species